CCUACGGGAGGCAGCAGUGAGGAAUAUUGGUCAAUGGCCGGAAGGCUGAACCAGCCAAGCCGCGUGAAGGACGAAGGUGCCAAGCAUUGUAAACUUCUUUUGUCAGGGGACAAAAUCAGGCGCGAGAGCCUGACCGAGGGUACUUGAAGAAAAAGCAUCGGCUAACUCCGUUCCAGCAGCCGCGGUAAUACGGAGGAUGCGAGCGUUAUCCGGAUUGAUUGGGUUUAAAGGGUGCAUAGGCGGGCUGUUAAGUCAGCGGUAAAAGCCCGGGGCUCAACCCCGGCGAGCCGUUGAAACUGGCUGUCUUGAGAUGUCGAGAGGUAUGCGGAAUGCGCAGUGUAGCGGUGAAAUGCUUAGAUAUUGCGCAGAACUCCGAUUGCGAAGGCAGCAUACCGGCGGCGAUCUGACGCUGAGGCACGAAAGCGUGGGUAUCGAACAGGAUUAGAUACCCGUGUAGUC
rnacentral:rRNA from 1 species